rnacentral:tRNA from 1 species
GCUGAUAUGGCUCGGUUGGUAGAGCGCACCCUUGGUAAAGGGUGAGGUCCCCAGUUCGACUCUGGGUAUCAGCACCA